GAUGAACGCUGGCGGCGUGCCUAAUACAUGCAAGUCGAGCGAACAGACGAGGAGCUUGCUCCUCUGACGUUAGCGGCGGACGGGUGAGUAACACGUGGAUAACCUACCUAUAAGACUGGGAUAACUUCGGGAAACCGGAGCUAAUACCGGAUAAUAUAUUGAACCGCAUGGUUCAAUAGUGAAAGACGGUUUUGCUGUCACUUAUAGAUGGAUCCGCGCCGCAUUAGCUAGUUGGUAAGGUAACGGCUUACCAAGGCAACGAUGCGUAGCCGACCUGAGAGGGGGGAUCGGCAACACGGGACCUGAGCACGGGCCCAGACCCCUAGGGGGGGAACCGGUGGGAAACUUUCGGAAAGGGGGGAAAGCCGACGGGGGCACCGCCGGGGAGGUGAUAAAGGUUUCGGGUCGGUAAACCCUGUUUUUUAGGAAAAAAAAAAUGGUAAAGUAACAUUCCCCGUUUUGGCGGUCCCAAACCAAAAACCCACGGCAACUUCCGG
rnacentral:rRNA from 1 species